rnacentral:rRNA from 1 species
CGGGACACGUGGUAUCCUGUCUGAAUAUGGGGGGACCAUCCUCCAAGGCUAAAUACUCCUGACUGACCGAUAGUGAACCAGUACCGUGAGGGAAAGGCGAAAAGAACCCCGGCGAGGGGAGUGAAAAAGAACCUGAAACCGUGUACGUACAAGCAGUGGGAGCACGCUUAGGCGUGUGACUGCGUACCUUUUGUAUAAUGGGUCAGCGACUUAUAUUCUGUAGCAAGGUUAACCGAAUAGGGGAGCCGAAGGGAAACCGAGUCUUAACUGGGCGUUAAGUUGCAGGGUAUAGACCCGAAACCCGGUGAUCUAGCCAUGGGCAGGUUGAAGGUUGGGUAACACUAACUGGAGGACCGAACCGACUAAUGUUGAAAAAUUAGCGGAUGACUUGUGGCUGGGGGUGAAAGGCCAAUCAAACCGGGAGAUAGCUGGUUCUCCCCGAAAGCUAUUUAGGUAGCGCCUCGUGAAUUCAUCUCCGGGGGUAGAGCACUGUUUCGGCAAGGGGGUCAUCCCGACUUACCAACCCGAUGCAAACUGCGAAUACCGGAGAAUGUUAUCACGGGAGACACACGGCGGGUGCUAACGUCCGUCGUGAAGAGGGAAACAACCCAGACCGCCAGCUAAGGUCCCAAAGUCAUGGUUAAGUGGGAAACGAUGUGGGAAGGCCCAGACAGCCAGGAUGUUGGCUUAGAAGCAGCCAUCAUUUAAAGAAAGCGUAAUAGCUCACUGGUCGAGUCGGCCUGCGCGGAAGAUGUAACGGGGCUAAACCAUGCACCGAAGCUGCGGCAGCGACGCUGAUGCGUUGUUGGGUAGGGGAGCGUUCUGUAAGCCUGUGAAGGUGUGCUGUGAGGCAUGCUGGAGGUAUCAGAAGUGCGAAUGCUGACAUAAGUAACGAUAAAGCGGGUGAAAAGCCCGCUCGCCGGAAGACCAAGGGUUCCUGUCCAACGUUAAUCGGGGCAGGGUGAGUCGACCCCUAAGGCGAGGCCGAAAGGCGUAGUCGAUGGGAAACAGGUUAAUAUUCCUGUACUUGGUGUUACUGCGAAGGGGGGACGGAGAAGGCUAUGUUGGCCGGGCGACGGUUGUCCCGGUUUAAGCGUGUAGGCUGGUUUUCCAGGCAAAUCCGGAAAAUCAAGGCUGAGGCGUGAUGACGAGGCACUACGGUGCUGAAGCAACAAAUGCCCUGCUUCCAGGAAAAGCCUCUAAGCAUCAGGUAACAUCAAAUCGUACCCCAAACCGACACAGGUGGUCAGGUAGAGAAUACCAAGGCGCUUGAGAGAACUCGGGUGAAGGAACUAGGCAAAAUGGUGCCGUAACUUCGGGAGAAGGCACGCUGAUAUGUAGGUGAAGCGACUUGCUCGUGGAGCUGAAAUCAGUCGAAGAUACCAGCUGGCUGCAACUGUUUAUUAAAAACACAGCACUGUGCAAACACGAAAGUGGACGUAUACGGUGUGACGCCUGCCCGGUGCCGGAAGGUUAAUUGAUGGGGUCAGCGCAAGCGAAGCUCUUGAUCGAAGCCCCGGUAAACGGCGGCCGUAACUAUAACGGUCCUAAGGUAGCGAAAUUCCUUGUCGGGUAAGUUCCGACCUGCACGAAUGGCGUAAUGAUGGCCAGGCUGUCUCCACCCGAGACUCAGUGAAAUUGAACUCGCUGUGAAGAUGCAGUGUACCCGCGGCAAGACGGAAAGACCCCGUGAACCUUUACUAUAGCUUGACACUGAACAUUGAGCCUUGAUGUGUAGGAUAGGUGGGAGGCUUUGAAGUGUGGACGCCAGUCUGCAUGGAGCCGACCUUGAAAUACCACCCUU